rnacentral:tRNA from 1 species
GGGGGGUUUAGCUCAGUUGGUAGAGCGCCUGCCUUGCAAGCAGGAUGUCAGCGGUUCGAGUCCGCUAACCUCCA